UGUUCUAGAAAACAAAACAUUGCUGCAGCCUCCUGACUGUGCAGUGGGGAAGCCAACCUCGAGAGCCAAGUGUGCA